rnacentral:rRNA from 1 species
UGGGGAAUUUUGCACAAUGGGCGCAAGCCUGAUGCAGCCAUGCCGCGUGUGUGAAGAAGGCCUUCGGGUUGUAAAGCACUUUCAGCGAGGAGGAAGGUGGUGGACUUAAUACGUUCAUCAAUUGACGUUACUCGCAGAAGAAGCACCGGCUAACUCCGUGCCAGCAGCCGCGGUAAUACGGAGGGUGCAAGCGUUAAUCGGAAUUACUGGGCGUAAAGCGCACGCAGGCGGUUUGUUAAGUCAGAUGUGAAAUCCCCGGGCUCAACUGGGAACUGCAUUUGAAACUGGCAAGCUAGAGUCUCGUAGAGGGGGGUAGAAUUCCAGGUGUAGCGGUGAAAUGCGUAGAGAUCUGGAGGAAUACCGGUGGCGAAGGCGGCCCCCUGGACGAAGACUGACGCUCAGGUGCGAAAGCGUGGGGAGCAAACAGGAUUAGAUACCCCUGGUAGUCCACGCUGUAAAACGAUGUCGAUUUUGGAGGUUGUGCCCUUGAGGCGUGGCUUCCGGAGCUAACG